UAGGGAAUCUUGCGCAAUGGGCGAAAGCCUGACGCAGCGACGCCGCGUGGGGGAUGACGGCCUUCGGGUUGUAAACCCCUUUCAGCAGGGACGAAAUUGACGGUACCUGCAGAAGAAGCCCCGGCCAACUACGUGCCAGCAGCCGCGGUAAUACGUAGGGGGCAAGCGUUGUCCGGAAUCAUUGGGCGUAAAGCGCACGUAGGCGGCUUGGCAAGUCGGAUGUGAAAGCCCCGAGCUUAACUCGGGGAGGCCACCUGAUACUGCCAUGGCUAGAGUCCGGUAGGGGAGCAUGGAAUUCCUGGUGUAGCGGUGAAAUGCGCAGAUAUCAGGAGGAACACCAGUGGCGAAGGCGGUGCUCUGGGCCGGAACUGACGCUGAGGUGCGAAAGCGUGGGUAGCGAACAGG
rnacentral:rRNA from 1 species